AGCUGCGACAGCCCCUGAAGCCGCGGGCAGGUGUGAACACAUGCAAGCCUCGCCCCAAGGAUGACCUGCCAGCAGCAGUUACAUUGGCAGGGCUGAACUCUGAAGAAGCCAGCACCAGUGAGGGUUUGAUUGAGCAGGAACUACCCAACCAGGCUGCCGAUGCUGCAGAUCCCAUUGGUCUUCAGGCUGAACUUCACACCUUGAAGAAAGAUGUCGGAAGUCAAGCGGACACACUACAGCUUGAGAAAGAUCAAGUGCUCGGGAUAGCACGGGUUAAGAAUGAA